UGGGCAGCCCCGCGCUGUCGUCUGACCCCCCCGACCCGACGGCAGCGCGGGGCCCCAC
rnacentral:sRNA from 1 species